CGAUGAAAGCAGUAGUGAGGGGAUAUUGUCUAGUCACAGAGACCUUUCACACACAGUGAACACUUUCGUGCACAGGGGAUACUGUAGGACUCCAUCUGUGGCCAUGCGGAAGUGGACUUACUGCCUGUCCUUGGUCUUGGUCUCAGUAUCUUUAGUGUUGGCCUCUCGUGAGUACCACUAUAUCAUUGACCCCAAGACAUGGACCGAAGCCCAGACCAACUGCAGAGAGAAGUACACUGAUCUGGCCACCAUCAGGGACAAAGAAGAGAUGCAGAGAUUAAACAAACUCAGCUUAACCCACAACAGCAACAGAGCG